rnacentral:rRNA from 1 species
AUUGAACGCUGGCGGCAGGCCUAACACAUGCAAGUCGAGCGAGCGGCGGACGGGUGAGUAAUGCCUAGGAAUCUGCCUGGUAGUGGGGGCUAACGUCCGGAAACGGGCGCUAAUACCGCAUACCAUCAAAUGUGCCCAGAUGGGAUUAGCGUGUUGGUGGGGUAACGGCUCACCAAGGCGACGAUACAUAGCUGGUCUGAGAGGAUGACCAGACACACUGGAACUGAGACAAGGUCCAGACUCCUACGUGAGGCAGCAGGGGGGAAUAGUGCACAAUGGGCGCAAUCGUGAUGCAGCCAUGCCGCGUGUAUGAAGAAGGCCUUCGGGUUGUAAAGUACUGUCAGCGGGGAGGCGUUACCCGCAGAAGAAGCACCGGCUAACUCCGGGCCAGCAGCCGCGGGAAUAC